rnacentral:misc_RNA from 1 species
AAGUCGUAACAAGGUUUCCGUAGGUGAACCUGCGGAAGGAUCAUUACAAAUCUGAGGCCCGUAUAGGGUCUAUAUGUUCGAGGCAGCAAUGCUUCGUGACACAUUUACGCUUGUAUGUUUGACAGAGUUAGUGUGACAUAUAAACAAAGACAACUUUUAACAAUGGAUCUCUUGGCUCUU